rnacentral:rRNA from 1 species
GAAUUUUGGACAAUGGGGGCAACCCUGAUCCAGCCAUCCCGCGUGUGCGAUGAAGGCCUUCGGGUUGUAAAGCACUUUUGGCAGGGAAGAAAAGGCUCUGGUUAAUACCUUGAGCAGCUGACGGUACCUGCAGAAUAAGCCCCGCCUAACUACGUGCCAGCAGCCGCGGUAAUACGUAGGGUGCAAGCGUUAAUCGGAAUUACUGGGCGAAAAGCGUGCGCAGGCGGGUCGGCAAGAAGGAUGUGAAAUGCCAGGGCUUAACCUUGGAACUGCAUUCUUAACUGCCGGGCUAGAGUAUGUCAGAGGGGGGUAGAAUUCCGCGUGUAGCAGUGAAAUGCGUAGAGAUGCGGAGGAAUACCGAUGGCGAAGGCAGCCCCCUGGGAUAAUACUGACGCUCAUGCACGAAAGCGUGGGGAGCAAACA